rnacentral:lncRNA from 1 species
GUGAAUUUAGAGGUCGAAAGACGACCUUCCUCUUCACCAUCUUUCUGACCUCCGAUUGGAGUUCCUCUGGCCGCUUCACCGCAGGCUCUGGCUUCCUUUUCUCCAGUCUGCGCAGGAAGUCUCUGUGAUGACCAGGUCUCACCGUCCAGAUCUGCAGGCAGCUCAGCCUUCAGAACCGUGACAGAGCCAAGUGAUUGUUGGCUCUAUAAACAUUUGUGAACCACGUGGGAUGAAUUGGAGGGAUACAGGCAUGGAUGACCUGUAAUGCUUGCCCAUAGGCUGUGCAGGGGCUGGCUGUGGUCAGGACUCAGCAGGUGAAGGUGCCUGCUGCCCAGCCUGAUGAUCCGAGUCCACUUUCUGGAAUCUCCAUGGUUGACUGCCUCCAAGAGUUCCUUCUACAGCUGGAAUGCAAGAUCCUGAGUGGAGUCCAGGUGGUGGGUCUGGGAGCCUCCAGAGAGUCAUGGCCAGUCAGGAUGGCUGCCGUCCCCGUGCUUCUGGAGAGGGGCUUAGCCAAGAGGAAGCCACCCCAAAGGCUGAUCUCCUGACAGUUGAGCCGGUCCCCUGACAUGUGGCAUGCUGCAGAGCCUCGGAGGAAAGAGACAGCAACACUGACGAAUGAGCCCAGUCUUCUGCAGGCGUUUUCUCAUCUGGGGGUCCCUCCUCUCAGAUGACUCUAGCUUGUGUGAAGUUGACACAAAUCUAGCCAGCGGACUGCAUGAAACUCGGAGACUGGUCUUGGUGAGGAAACCAAAGGAGCUGACUCAGAAAGUCAACGGGAACCAAGAUACCCUGCGCAGCAGAGAAUUCAAAGUAUAUCAGGCUCAUGCUGGAAGAAGGCUCGGCAGUUAAGAGCAUAUACUGAGUCCAGAGGACCUGAGUCCACUUGCCAGCAAUCACACCAGGUGUCUAUAACUCUAGGUCCAGGCCAGAGCUCUGCAGCACCUACAACCAUGUGCGCACACACUUACAUAUAACUAAGACUAAUAAAAAUGAACGUUUUUAAAAAAUGUCAUGCGUCAGAACCAUCAGUUCAGAACCUGUGUGCUUUAUUUAGAGUUUUUCCGGUCAGCUCGGCAUGAGCUGGAGUCAUCUGAGAAGAGGGAACUUCAGUUGAGAAACCACCUCCAUCAGAUGGGCCUGCUGGCA